rnacentral:lncRNA from 1 species
AGGAUGCUUGGGACGCAGCUCUGGUCUCAGCAGAACCCAGACGAGUGGCUGUUGCCGACGGCUGGUUUGUCCCUGCCAGUCAUUCUUUCUGUGAGUGGCAGCCCAGAAAGGACCGGAUGGAACAGUCAUUCCCAAUAACUACUGUGACUUCUGCUUGGGGGGCUCCAACAUGAACAAGAAGAGUGGGCGGCCUGAAGAGCUGGUGUCCUGCGCAGACUGUGGACGCUCUGCUCAUUUGGGAGGAGAAGGCAGGAAGGAGAAGGAGGCAGCGGCCGCAGCACGUACCACGGAGGACUUAUUCGGUUCCACGUCAGAAAGUGACACGUCAACUUUCCACGGCUUUGAUGAGGACGAUUUGGAAGAGCCUCGCUCCUGUCGAGGACGCCGCAGUGGCCGGGGUUCGCCCACAGCAGAUAAAAAGGGCAGUUGCUAAACCCACGGAACAGACUCUCUGGGCAAUUAGCCAUCCCCCUCUGACUUUGGUCAUUGUGCUGGUUCUGAUAUAUAUUUUUUUUAAUGAAAGGCAACUUUAGAUUUUCCCUCUAUCCUUGCUUUUUUUCCCUUCACCU